rnacentral:rRNA from 1 species
CAGCAGCCACGGUAAUACGUAGGUGGCAAGCGUUGUCCGGAAUUAUUGGGCGUAAAGAGCUCGUAGGCGGCUUGUCACGUCUGCUGUGAAAUCCCGGGGCUCAACCCCGGGCGUGCAGUGGAUACGGGCUGGCUAGAGGCAGGCAGGGGAGAACGGAAUUCCCGGUGUAGCGGUGAAAUGCGCAGAUAUCGGGAGGAACACCGGUGGCGAGGGCGGUUCUCUGGGCCUGUUCUGACACUGAGAGACGAAAGCUAGGGGAGCAAAUGGGAUUAGAUACCCCCGUAGUCCCUGUCUCUUAUAC